rnacentral:tRNA from 1 species
GGUCGCCUGGUGUAGUGGUUAUCACGUCUGCUUUACACGCUUUAUCAGCUAAAUAUCGCAGCAGGUCGCCGGUUCGAUCCCGGCGGUGACCU